UCAGGAUAGCCGAGUGGUUAACGCGUCGGGCUACCAACCCGAGGUUCCCGGUUUCGAUCUCCGCGUCGGAA